rnacentral:rRNA from 1 species
AUUGAACGCUGGCGGCAGGCCUAACACAUGCAAGUCGAACGGUAACAGGAAGAAGCUUGCUUCUUUGCUGACGAGUGGCGGACGGGUGAGUAAUGUCUGGGAAACUGCCUGAUGGAGGGGGAUAACUACUGGAAACGGUAGCUAAUACCGCAUAACGUCGCAAGACCAAAGAGGGGGACCUUCGGGCCUCUUGCCAUCGGAUGUGCCCAGAUGGGAUUAGCUAGUAGGUGGGGUAACGGCUCACCUAGGCGACGAUCCCUAGCUGGUCUGAGAGGAUGACCAGCCACACUGGAACUGAGACACGGUCCAGACCCCUACGGGAGGCAGCAGUGGGGAAUAUUGCACAAUGGGCGCAAGCCUGAUGCAGCCAUGCCGCGUGUAUGAAGAAGGCCUUCGGGUUGUAAAGUACUUUCAGCGGGGAGGAAGGGAGUAAAGUUAAUACCUUUACUCAUUGACGCUACCCGCAGAAGAAGCACCGGCUAACUCCGUG